rnacentral:lncRNA from 1 species
CUUUUUUUAAUUGUCAAAAUACUUUGUCAAAAUGACAGAAAUUCAAGAAUUGCUUCUAUUGUUCUUCAAAACAAAUUUCUCUUUUCCAGGUUUUUUGGUUUGUUUGUUUAUUUUGUGUGUGUAUGUGUGUGGGAGGGGGUAGGGCUCUUGGGACAGAGCCUAAGGUCUUGCCCUUGUACCAGUGAGCUACAUUUCUACACUUCUCUAGGUAAAUCAGUCUCUUUCUUCUUUCUCCAGACAAUACUUGCACUUUCUUACCUCUGUUCUCUCUUUCUGUCUGACCUCUAUACUCAAAUAUACUCACCCCCCACUGUCCUUGUCUUACCUAUUUUUCAGGCACCAGGCUUAGGUCUCACAUAUUUUCUGAGACUUUCUCUAUCAAUUCUUACCAACAGUGAUCUCUCCAUUUUUUUUUUCCUGAAAUUACUGUCCACAUCAGUCAGUUGGCACUUUUUUUAAACAUUUCUUGAAAUUAUGGACACUAAUUUAAGUUAUCAGUUAAUUAUUCAUGCAUGCUUGCCUUGUGUACCCCACCUGUAAACCUCUUGAGUUAAUGGAAUAUAGGUAAAAGAACACAGGAUCGAAGAUCAGAACACCCAAGUUUGGCCUUGAAUCUCAAAAGGGGGCUCAGGUGUGCCACCUUGGAUGAGUCACUCAAAUUCUUUGAGCCAGAAUUUCAUCAUCUAUGAAAUGAAGAUCAUAAUCUCAGCUUUAUGUAAUUCUUCAGGUUGCAGCGAGGCUGUGCAGUGCUAGAGUGCUAAACAAAUAUCAUUCUGUUUGUUUAAAUAAAUGGUGCUUAAUAAAU